rnacentral:rRNA from 1 species
GUCGAGGGGCAGCAUGAACUUAGCUUGCUAAGUUUGAUGGCGACCGGCGCACGGGUGAGUAACACGUAUCCAACCUUCCGUUUACUCAGGGAUAGCCUUUCGAAAGAAAGAUUAAUACCUGAUAGUAUGGUGAGAUUGCAUGAUAGCACCAUUAAAGAUUUAUUGGUAAACGAUGGGGAUGCGUUCCAUUAGGUAGUAGGCGGGGUAACGGCCCACCUAGCCGACGAUGGAUAGGGGUUCUGAGAGGAAGGUCCCCCACAUUGGAACUGAGACACGGUCCAAACUCCUACGGGAGGCAGCAGUGAGGAAUAUUGGUCAAUGGGCGAGAGCCUGAACCAGCCAAGUAGCGUGAAGGAUGAAGGUCCUACGGAUUGUAAACUUCUUUUAUACGGGAAUAAAGUAUCCUACGUGUAGGAUUUUGUAUGUACCGUAUGAAUAAGCAUCGGCUAACUCCGUGCCAGCAGCCGCGGUAAUACGGAGGAUGCGAGCGUUAUCCGGAUUUAUUGGGUUUAAAGGGAGCGCAGACGGGAGAUUAAGUCAGUUGUGAAAGUUUGCGGCUCAACCGUAAAAUUGCAGUUGAUACUGGUUUCCUUGAGUGCAGUUGAGGCAGGCGGAAUUCGUGGUGUAGCGGUGAAAUGCUUAGAUAUCACGAAGAACCCCGAUUGCGAAGGCAGCUUGCUAAACUGUAACUGACGUUCAUGCUCGAAAGUGUGGGUAUCAAACAGGAUUAGAUACCCUGGUAGUCCACACGGUAAAC